ensembl:lncRNA
AUGUCCAGCACUGUGUCCCCAAAAGUCCCCUCCGCGAGCUCCUCCGCGGACCAGAGGACCGUCGUCGUGGGGGCAUUUUGUUGUCUGGUGUUUUUCUUCAUGAUCGUGGUGCUGCUGUUGAUCCUGUACCGGAAGGUUCCUCUCUGCUGCAAAAUGAGGGCUCUUCAGGAAUCUCGUACUGACAUGGAAUCUCCUCCUCAGUACUACAACAGCAGACAGACUCUUGUAGCUUCUUCUGAUGUGGAGCAAACACAUGACAGCGGUCUUGAUAACGUGAAUGCACGGUCGGGCUCGUUGUUCCUGAUCGGUGUGCCGAGCAGCUACUACCUUUCCCCGCUGGAGCCUCCUCUUCCUCGUCUGCCCUCGUACGAGAGCGUCCGCAAGAAAGACCGCCAGCGGCAGAUCCACAUGAUGAUAGCCGACCGCUUCGGCCUGAGCGGAUCAGUCGAGACAGAGGUCAGACAGUUUUUGUUCAUGCAGCUUUCAUGACCUUGUUUGACUAGAUGAAGUUAAUGGCUUUACUGAAAAAUGGAUGAUGACUUCUCAAAACAUACACUUAUGCAUGUAUUCAAAUAUGAACACACAAUUGUUACGAUGAAAACACAUUGGCAUCAUCCACUCGAAGCUCUCAGAUGUCACUCUGCUAAAACCCUGCUAUGAUAACAGUGUCGUCUCUCAGCAGCUGCAGUCUGACUGAAUAUAAUAACAAUAGAGUUUUAAUAUGAAUGACCCACAGUUUUCUGUUCCGUAACAUGAUCGUAUCUGAGAAGCGGACACAUUCACUGCCACACAGACCUCACCUGCGCUGCUGCGAGCGCUUCAAGGCCCUGCGAUGUUGACUUAGCGCCAGGAAAACGCAUGAGUACACACGCUAAUGGGAAUUGAUGCACAUCAAACAUUAUAAAGCGGUCUAUUUCCAAAGGUAAACAUUAGUGGAGAAUACGGCUCAUUGUCCGUCUGUCCUCUCCUUUACUCCCAGGAUUCACUGGGGGGAUCGUUCACUCAUUAACCCUAUUAUUGAGCUUAAUUAGCUGCUUCUCCAGCUGGGCGCCGCGGUGUUGUCUGCUUUAAAAUGGCUGGUUUUUUUUAGAAGCCUAAAGGGCAGACGCCGAGCUCAAAGCUUAUGAGAAAGAAGAACCAAAGAGAGAAAAAAAUGGCUAGAGGAAGUUUCUGCAAAGUGAUAUCGCCAACUAAAUUUGUUUAAAUAAAUGUCGAGCUCUGUAUUGUGAAUUAACGUAGUGCAGAGGUCUUUCUCUUUGGGAAUAUAUUCACUUGAUAAGCAUUAUCAAUGUUAAAUAAAUAAUAAUAGAAGCAUACGAGGAAACUAGAUUUUUAUGUUUUCUACUGAAGAUGUUCUCAAGAAAUAGAAAAGGUUGUGGGUUCGAUUCCCCGGGAACACAUGAUAGGUUUGCUUAAAGGGAUAGUUCACCCGAAAAUAAAAAUGUGCUGGAAAUGUAUACUCCGCCUCAAGCCGUCUAAGAUGUAGAUGAGUUUGUUUUUUCAUCAGAACAGAUUUGUAGAAAUGUAUCAUUACAUCACUUUCUCAGCAAAGGAUCCUGGAAGUGGAAGUGAACGGGUGCCGUCAGAAUGAGAUCCACACCAUAAUCCACACCACAUAAUUUCAACACACAGUGAAAGUGUUUAACUUCUAACCAUUGUAUCUUUCGAGAAUACGAGUCCCUUAUGAAUAAUAUUUGGUUCUCCAGUAAAAAGGCAUCUUGUCUGCAUCAGGAGAGAAAUAUUCUCAAACACAGUUUACAAGAGAAAACUGAAACACAUAUUUAAUCAGCUGUUUGGAUUGUCAUUCUGACGGCACCCAUUCACUGCAGAGGAUCCACUACAUUUCUCCAAACCUGUUCUGAAGAAACACACAUCUACAUCUUGUAUUGCCUGAGUAUUUUCAAUCUGAGUACUUUCAGCAAAUACACAUAUCUGAGUAAACCAUUCCUUUAGGAGAUUAGAGGAGUCCUGCCACAAAUAAUAACUAAACCGACAUUUUGAUUAAACACACACAAAAGUGAUAUGCAAAAUGGAGGAGUGCGCCUGAGGUAUUUUUCUAGUGCAAGCUGUUGAUUUGUGGUGUUAUAAGUCAAGCUUUAUCUCUGUUCUUGUUUUUCUUUUACACAGCCGCCUCCCACAUAUGAGGAGAGCAUUCGUGAGUCCGUCCAGGGCAUUGAUGUCCCGUUUGACAUCCUGGCACCCGCGGAGGAGCUUACAGUCCCAGACACAGAUUUACCUGCAUAUGAAGAUCUACCUCAAAUCACAGACUCACAGGACCCCAGUCACACUGUUAAUUAAAGCACAAGAACACGAUCGGCAGCUGUUGAGCUGUCACUAGCCUGACGAGCAGCCGCUCUGCUUGCAAAAGACACCGAAAUAGGGACGGACUUGACCUAUGCAAUAACUUGCACAAGCACAAGACGAGAGGAGGAGGAUGUUGCAUCACUACUGGAAAAAGGGAAGAGAAGAACAAGAAUAUGCAAGAGUUUAAGUUCUGUCGCUGUUAAAAAAUGACAUGAAACUUCUACUUUAUAGAACUAUAAGGAUUGUAGAUAUUUCCAAGCCUCAACAUUACAUCACGUCCCAUGAUAUUAUUACAUUUAUACAUAAGUGGGGAAUGUUGAUUUCAUUUUGAUUAAAAAAAAUGUUGUUGUUUUUUCUUUUUGGGGGGGGAAUAACAUCCAUUUAUGAAAAAUAACACUAGUGACAUCUAUUAUAACCAUAAAUAAAGUCUAUCUUGAUUUCAUGUUGAAGUUCAUCUAAAACCAAAGUAGCAGCUGGUGUACUGUACUGACCUAAAGCACACAAAUAAUGAAGAUUUGAAGCCAUGUUUUUGUACAUUACGGGGAAAUUGUAUCACUAUUUUAGGCAGACGAGUUUUAAUUCAAUCCUGUUUUUAAACAAACUGCUCAUUUUUUUUUGUGUACAUGUUCCUUGUCGGACCAAAUGAUACUUUGCUGCGAUUCUAUUUGUUGAAUCUCUCUUUUUUUUAAAUAACCUUUUAUGAAUGCGCUCGAUUGUAUCACUGUGAAUAAAGAUGUUAAAUGUACAGUUUGCAGAAGUAAUACUAGACUUGGACUUGUUUCUUCUGAGAUUGGGUCACACUGAAUCAUCGGAUUUUCCUCGGUUUCUUCCCUUUACUGUCAAUACUCUACUCAGAGCAUAUGAUUUCAGAUACGUGUGCAUUCAAAUUCAAAUGGCUUGAAAGCAGUUUGAUGUGUAACAAGUUUGAGGUCACAGGUGUCCUCAUUUCCCUCUGAACACGCAUUUGCAUCUUUCAAAAACUACAUGAGAUAUAUUUUCCCUAGGGCACAAGAAUAAACCAGAUUUGAGAGGUUGUGCUGCGCUCUAAUAUAGUCACGGCUAAAUGAAACUGCAAUAAUAUCUUACCUGUUACUAUUUUAUAUAUUUAGCAUGUUAGACUUUAUUGACCAUGAAUCAACAGGAGAUCCACUCAAUGAUUAACCCACAUGGGAUUCACAUGUCUAACAAAACUGAGUGUUGAUUAAAAGAUCACUAAAAGAUGCAUUCAGUUGAUCAAAGUAAAUACAGAUGCAUAUUGUAACAAUUUUCUAUAAAAAAAAAAAUAAAAAAAAAAAAAAUAUAUAUAUAUAUAUAUAUAUAUAUAUAUAUAUAUAUAUAUAUAUAUAUAUAUAUAUAUAUAUAUAUAUAUAUAUUGAACUCUAUUUAUCAAAAAAAUACUUAAUGCAUCAUGUUUUCCAUAAAAAUAUAAAA